rnacentral:rRNA from 1 species
UACGGAGGAUCCAAGCGUUAUCCGGAAUCAUUGGGUUUAAAGGGUCCGUAGGCGGUCUAAUAAGUCAGUGGUGAAAGCCCAUCGCUUAACGAUGGAACGGCCAUUGAUACUGUUAGACUUGAAUUACUGGGAAGUAACUAGAAUAUGUAGUGUAGCGGUGAAAUGCUUAGAUAUUACAUGGAAUACCAAUUGCGAAGGCAGGUUACUACCAGUGGAUUGACGCUGAUGGACGAAAGCGUGGGGAGCGAACAGG